GUGAACGCUGGCGGUAGGCCUAACACAUGCAAGUCGAACGGCAGCACAGUAAGUGCUUGCUCUUACGGGUGGCGAGUGGCGGACGGGUGAGGAAUACAUCGGAAUCUACUUUUUCGUGGGGGAUAACGUAGGGAAACUUACGCUAAUACCGCAUACGACCUACGGGUGAAAGCAGGGGAUCUUCGGACCUUGCGCGAUUGAAUGAGCCGAUUUCGGAUUAGCUAGUUGUCGGGGUAAAGGCCCACCAAGGCGACGAUCCGUAGCUGGUAUGAGGGGAUGAACAGCCACACUGGAACUGAGACACGGUCCAGACUCCUACGGGAGGCAGCAGUGGGGAAUAUUGGACAAUGGAGGCAAGCCUAAUCCAGCCAUACCGCGUGGGUGAAGAAGGACUUCGGGUUGUAAGGCCCUUUUGUUGGGAAAGAAAAGCAGCAGGUUAAUACCCCGCUGUUCUGACGGUACCCAAAGAAUAAGCACCGGCUAACUUCGUG
rnacentral:rRNA from 1 species